rnacentral:pre_miRNA from 1 species
AUAAAAAUUGUCCAGGGAUCUUGUUAAAGUGCAGAUUCUGACUCACCAGUGAGGCCCGAGAUUCUGCAUUCGUAACAAGCUCCCAGGUGAUGCCCGG